ensembl:lncRNA
CACGCGCACAGAGCACACAGAUGCGCCGGCUGAGUGGAUUAAAGGGUUCGUCCAAUGACACAGCUGUGCUCUCUUUGAUGCCCGGGCGUAAGAGGGACACUGAUGUGUGUGUGUGUGUGUGUGUGUACAUAAAUACACAUCUACGCGUCUAGCGCGACGCUCAUCGCGCGUUUACCCCGUUUGCAGUCCGAUCGUAUUUAAAAAGCGUGGACGUGCAGGCGGGCGGGCGGGCGUGCUGGUGCGUUUGGGAACCCGCUGAUUCGCGGCGUGGUUGCGUGCAGCGUUCCAAUGGGCGCUAAAUGUGGUUUGUUGUGCGCCGGGCUUGUCGAGCUCGUUUUCCCCUCUUGAACGGAGCUGCAGCGGCCUCGCAGGCUUUUGGGUCGUGCAGCGUUCACACAGCCAGAGUAUCUCUAAUUAAGCCACGAGUUUCUUUACCCCCCCUUCCUCCCCCUUCCUCCCUCGUGUGCUUAAGAUACAAAAGACAAGUCCGUAAAUCCGCCAAGAGAUGCAGGAGGAGGAGGAGGAGGAGGAAGACGCACGCUGCUGAAAUAUAAAUGGGCUGCACAUCUCUGUUUGUUGUGAGUUUUGCUGCAACAAAGCAAACAAAAAGUCCCCCCCCCCCCUCCCAGUAAUGGCAACAGUUAAUCCCGGAUUUCUAAUUGGUUAACAAAGGCAUCGUGUAAUUCUAAAGUGAUCAUCCUCAAGUCCACGCGGGCAGAUUAGUCGUCUCGUCGCUGGCACGCGGCGGUCGGCGGUGCAAAAAUAGCACGACCUCCUUCACGUAGAAACUAGGUCCCUCCACCUCUUUCCGCCCCGCAAGCAGCCGCCUCGUCUCCUUUGCGACGGGGAAACAAGCCAACGGAAAAGCGGCGUCCCUCCCGAUCGCGCGGCUGCUUUAUGAAGUACUCGGCUUUGUCUCCUCUCGCCGUCGUCCGUCAUCCUUCCAGCUAAGCCUCUUCGUUUUCCUCCUCGGACGGCUGUGCCGCUGUGCACUCGCUGCCCUGUAAUUUAUCCACCGGCAGCAAUGGAGUGUGUGUCCGUGUGUGUGUGUGUGUGUGUGUGUGUGUGUGUGUGUUUGCACUGAGAAAUAGGAAACGUUGUGUUUAAAGGGUGAUGAUUGCUGCGGCCCUCGUGGUUCACAUCAGACAAGGUAAUGAUGGCUGCUACUUUCUCAGCUGGCUCCAGUCAAUCCCCCUUAAGUGUGUGUGUGUGUGUGUGUGUGCGUGCGUGUGUGUGUGUGCGCGCCCCAGUAGUAGCGAGCUGAUCUAAAGGCUGUUAACAUGCAGUAAUUCGGGGUUUUGCUAAAUGUCCUUACGAGCAACACGAGUUCUGAAUGAUUUUUUUAUUUUUUUUUCCUCCUGCUGAAUAAAAUAAAAUAAAGUGUCACUCUGAUUCCAUCUGCUGAAUCCGUCUUUAAUGCUUCUGGGAACUGAAGUAUUUUGACUUGUAUCCUGUAACUCCACAAGCUGCUGGAGCGGUUUGUACUUUGCUGCUCGCUUGUGGAUGCACCUCCUGAGAGGAAAUAAAGACGAUUCACUGCCAUGUCAUUUGACAUCAGGGGCACAUUUAUACCAACAAAACACACGUUUUCAUAAUCUCUCCCAUAGUCGAUGGUUUGACAUCGAUGCAGAUGUUUGUUGCUGCUGAGUCGGGGCUUCCCUGUUAGUCUGCACUGAGUUACUGUUAUUAUUUUUGGGCCGGUGCCUGAAUGGAAAUGACUCCUCGUCGAUGCUUUUGGCCACUGACUUUCUUCUCUCGAGGUCCAUGUUUCUCUUUGGCUUUUUUCAGUAUUCGCUUGCACCAGAUUCCACAGUUUGAUUUCUACACAGUAUGUUUGUGUGUAACCAAGAUAUUUCCACACCUGCAUUGUGAAUAUUUCCAGUGCGCCGAGGACUCACCUCGCAGAUCCACGAGUCUGAUAUUGUUAUAUUGAACAACAGGUAGAGCCUGCAGGGGACGUCAAGCCUCCUUCACCAACUGUUCUGAACAAAACUUCCACCUGGGCAGUUAUUUUGACACUCACCAAUGUUUUCUUACUCUGUAAUUUCUUCUAGGAAGAGAAUUCACCCGAGAGCACAUAGUACACUUUGCACAGCGUGUACAGUCUCCACAAUCAGUCAGCAAGUCUCGCUAAAUAUCUUAAAAGGUGAGACGAUGAGUCAAAGUUUUACAAAGUUUUACAGCUGGACUGGAAGUGAUCACAUGACACAACCCAUCUUUGCAUAAUGUUUCUUAUCCAACUAUCUAACAUUCUGCGAAACACAUGACGCCGUGGUAGCCACCUGUCAAUCACAGCGUAGCCCCGCCCCUGAGCGUAGCCUCCUUCAGGAUUUCGGCACAGUCUGCACAGCCACAGUUGUCCCUCCGUCCUGCACAUCGCUGCGCUCUCAUUGGGACAGAAGGAGCUUCCUUCAGGUGAUGCGGCUCCGCAGGUGUGAGACAAGCGGCGCGGAGGAGGAGGCAGUGGGACGUAAGCGUCAUGCACAGGGGAUGGAGGAGGAGAAGGAGGAGGAGGAGGAGCGGCACGUGAUUGGUCCACGGAGUGCAGUGGCGGUCGGAUGAAUGUUUUAUAAGGAUCUGCUGUUUGUAGGUUAGACUUAUCUCUGCUGUGCCAUGUGUGGGCUGGAGAUGUGAGUCACACCGGGCCGCGUGCUGGAGACGACCAAACAGUAUCGUGUUUUUACAACGCAAUUAACCAGCAGCGCAACGUAACGCUGAAAGCAUUUCAUUUAUGAGACCGGAGGUCGAACGGCAAGCUGCCCGAUUUGUUUUCGUAGGUUGCAUUUGUCUUGUGAUGUGGAGCCGACACAGAUGUUUGCACAGAUGAGCCUUUCUGCUGGAGUAUAUUCUUUAUUGUUAUUUUAUAUAUCUGCUAAGCAGAAGAAGUGUAACCCUGCACAAGAAGAUUUCCUGAUUCCCUCUCUUGAUUGCAUUAUUAUUCUAAUUAGCUUCAUCUCCUCUUUGCUAAUGUUCUCCAUCGGUCCAAAAAUACACCGUUGACCUUUUUGCUCUUUAAAAUGUGUAUUUCAUUAAUAUUUUGAUCGUCAUACUAGAAGAUUCCGGAAGCCUCGGUGUGAACUGGAUAGACUCGGGGGACGCACCAUCCGUCAGAGCUGACGUCUUUUUCUCGGUGUCCUUGGUUGAAACGGGAGCGAUUGAUGCGCUUGCCGGAGGCGCGUCGCCCGGCUCGUAAACAGCCGGCGUUGCCGCAGGUAACGCGGCGCCGCAGCCCGGCUCGUAAACCGCCCCCACGUCGCGUGAUCUCACCGUUAAAAGGUAUAUUAAGGUCAUCCUCACGUCUUCCGUCGGCCCCGGUGCGCCGCGGCCACUGCCGAGGACGAGGGCGGGGCCGCGGCGCAUUUGUUCCGCCCGCUUCCCUUCGCCUACAUCUUUUACAUCUCAGGCCUUUACCAUUUCCCCGUAACACCGGGGGGCUUCUUGCCAAGCUAUCAAUAAUGAACGGUUAGGCGGGGGGUUUAACGCGGCGGUGCAGAUGAUGGGGCGGGGCGGAGGAGGCUUUCACAGAACAGAGUGCUUUUAGCCGGUAACACCAGCGGCAGGAAGAGUUCUUAAGGUCAGACGGCCGCGGGUCACUUCUCAACCAUCAACCAGCGCAGAGGACUAAUGAAAAAUGAAUGAUUGGCACUUUUUAACCCAAAAAGGAACAAAUAAUAUAAACCCAGCAAGCUUGUAUUUUGUAAUCGAAAGUUAUUUUUUAAACUCUUUAACUUGUGUUUCAGUAUGUCGCCCGCUUAAUGUUGAAUUAGAGACGUUUAAUCUGAAUAUACGGGUCGAAUGUUUGAAGAACCGAUAAUGCUCAUUUAAUCGAUCAUUUAAUGCACAUUAAACAUUAAAUGCGUUAAACGCGCAUUUUCUCUCUUUGUCGCCGCUGAGGCGCUGCUGUGCAGAAUGGACACGUGACUUUAUCUGCUACGGCGUGCAGACUGAGGCGGCGGCGGCGGCGUGCUGGGUGUGAACUACUAGCAACCACAAGGAGGUGGCGGGGAGAAGCAACCUACUAAGCAGAAGACCGGGAAAAAAGGUCGGUCGGCCAUUUAUAAAAAAUAUAGCCGGCGCUGAUCUCCCGCCGAACUGCUCAUCCGUCACGCUGCCACGCGAGGAGGCCGAUCAUCGGCGGGCCGGUCCUCCCGCGCCGACGGCGAAAGAAGCGGCGACUCCCAAGCGGGUCCGUCUGUCUUCCCGUUCGCCGCGCCCGAGAACACUUUGCAGGAGACGAGCAUUCAUCCCCUAAACAAGCAGCCGUCUCGUGACAGCUGCGGCGCAGUCGGCCAUUAGCCCGGCGGAGGGCGGGCGUUGUUAACGAGCGGGGCACUUAGCGCCGCCACAUCAGCCUCGAACCGCCGUGAGUCUAGUUUUUCCUCCUUCCCCAUUUAGUCUGCAGCUGAGCACUUAUAUUACUUCACAGGACCCCCCCGCGCGGGGGGGCUCAAGUAUUUAUACCCAGGAAUCGCUGGAGGGGCGUGACCGACGUGUUCGAACCAUCCAACACAUUCUCUCCCUCGCCGUGAUGCCGAAGCGUGAGGCGAUCGAAGCCUCGUGAGAUUUUGGACGCUGCAAAUAUCUUUUGGUCACAAGGAUCAGACGUCUGUGUAGAAGGAUGUCAGAGGAAGUAGUUCUCAGUAAAAGGUAUAAAAGCACAGACCCCCGUCACAGAUUAUAACUCCUGUAGACUUUUAGCUUUUAAUAUUUCAUGCAAUAAGAGCUUUGGGUGAAACAAAGCGAUGGAGCAGCUGCGAAAAAGCUUCACUGCACAAUACGCACCUUGAAUUCUUGUGACUGCAGCAUUUUGUGUUCCAUUAAAGAAAAAGGGUGUCAUCUAUGUUAUGUGUUAAUGUUCUUUAGUGUCUCUUCGUCACCUCGGCCUUUUUAUAUCUACAGACAAACCAAACACUCUCAAAGAGAACCGUAGUCUUCCCUCUUGGAAGGGCCUUUUCAUGUUUUGGGGAGUUUUUCCUGUGCCGAUGUGAGGGUUUCGGGACAGAGGACGUCGUAUGUGUACAGACUGUAAAGCCCUCUGAGGCUAAUUUGUUAUUUGCGAUUUUGGCCUCUACAAAAUAAAAUGAAUUGAAGUUCUCCUGCAUGUGAACCAACGUUCAUUUGUUUGCAAUCUGCAACCUCACCACUAGAUGCUGCCAAAAACAAGCAGCAAAAACCAGCUAGUUAAACG